UACGAAGGGGGCUAGCGUUGUUCGGAGUUACUGGGCGUAAAGGGCGCGUAGGCGGCCCUCCAAGUCGGGCGUGAAAGCCCACGGCUCAACCGUGGAAUUGCGCUCGAGACUGAAGGGCUCGAGGACGGGAGAGGAUGGUGGAAUUCCCAGUGUAGAGGUGAAACUCGUAGAUAUUGGGAAGAACACCGGUGGCGAAGGCGGCCAUCUGGACCGUAUCUGACGCUGAGGAGCGAAAGCGUGGGGAGCGAACAGG
rnacentral:rRNA from 1 species